CCAAAACCCUAGCCUAAAUGAAUAAAACCUUCCUCUUCCUAUUUUAACAACCUAACCAAAAUAUUUUUUUAUUCUAGUAAAGAAGAUUAAAAAAAUCCUAUAGAGCCAUAACAACGUACCGCAAGGGAAAAAUGAAAGAAUAAUGAAACAAUUAAGCACAAAACAAUAGAGCUCAAUCCUCGUACCUUUUGCAUCAUGGCUUAACUAGUCUAACCAAGCACAAAGACUUUAAGUUUGACAUCCCGAAACUAAGUGAGCUACUUUGAGGCAGCCCAAAGAGCCAACCCGUCUCUGUUGCAAAAGAGUGGGAAGACCCCAAAGUAGAAGUGAUAAACUUACCGAACUUAGUGAUAGCUGGUUGCUUGUGAAAAGAAUUUUAGUUCAGCCUAAAGUUUUUCCCUAACAAUAAAUAACCCCAUAAAUUUUAGAGUAAUUUAAGUAGGGUACAGCCUACUUAAACCAGGACUCAUCCUCCCCUGAUGGGUACUACCUUUCUCUUUUCCCAAGUAGGCCUAAAAGCAGCCAUCUUUCAAACCGCGUCAAAGCCUAACAAUAUUAUUAACUCAAUUCCUUCAACAUUGUAUAACCCUCUACCCCUAACAAGCAUUUCUAUAACUUUAUGGAAAGUAUUAUGUUAAGACUAGUAACAAGAAGACAACUUCUCUUAUAUGUAAACAUAACCCAGAAUGGAUAACCCACUGACAAUUAACAAGCAUAAUAGUAACCCACAAGAAAAACCUAUUAUUUUCCCUAUUAAUCUGACACAAGAACAUAUCAAGAAAGAUCAAAAGUGAAGGAAGGAACUCGGCAAAUAUCGAUCCCGCCUGUUUACCAAAAACAUCGCCUCCUGUACCCUAUGGGAGGUCUAGCCUGCCCAGUGACUCUGUUCAACGGCCGCGGUACACUAACCGUGCAAAGGUAGCACAAUCACUUGUCUCUUAAAUCGAGACCUGUAUGAAUGACAUCACGAGGAUUUAACUGUCUCCCUUCACCAAUCAGUGAAACUAAUCUCCCUGUGAAAAAGCAGGGCUACUCAUACAAGACGAGAAGACCCUAUGGAGCUUUAAACUAGUAACACUUGCUCACUUUCCCAUGAUAUUCAGCAUAAUGCUUAUACGUUUUCGGUUGGGGUGACCCUGGAGAAAAACCUAACCUCCAGGCUGUUAAAUAUAAGAACCUCAAUUCUACAAUCAACAUAUUGACACAAUUGACCCAAACAUUUGAUCAACGAACCAAGUUACCCUAGGGAUAACAGCGCCAUCCACUUCAAGAGCACAUAUCAACAAGUGGGCUUACGACCUCGAUGUUGGAUCAGGAUUCCCCAGUGGUGCAGCCGCUACUAAAGGUUUGUUUGUUCAACAAUUAAAAUCCUACGCGAUCUGAGUUCAGACCGGAGCAAUCCAGGUCGGUUUCUAUCUGUAAUAGAGCAUUCCCCAGUACGAAAGGAUCGGGAAAGCAUGGCCAAUUAAAUCUUCAAGCCAUAUAAUAAUUUAUGCUCUCCACUUAAUAAUUUAUCUCCUGCUCAACCUAAGAUCAAGGCA
rnacentral:rRNA from 1 species